rnacentral:rRNA from 1 species
GACGAACGCUGGCGGCGUGCUUAACACAUGCAAGUCGAACGGAAAGGCCCUGCUUUUGUGGGGUGCUCGAGUGGCGAACGGGUGAGUAACACGUGAGUAACCUGCCCUUGACUUUGGUAUAACUUCAGGAAACUGGGGCUAAUACCGGAUAGGAGCUCCUGCUGCAUGGUGGGGGUUGGAAAGUUUCGGCGGUUGGGGAUGGACUCGCGGCUUAUCAGCUUGUUGGUGGGGUAGUGGCUUACCAAGGCUUUGACGGGUAGCCGGCCUGAGAGGGUGACCGGCCACAAUGGGACUGAGAUACGGCCCAGACUCCUACGGGAGGCAGCAGUGGGGAGUAUUGCACAAUGGGCGGAAGCCUGAUGCAGCAACGCCGCGUGCGGGAUGACGGCCUUCGGGUUAUAAACCGCUGUCGCCUGUGACGAAGCGUGAGUGACGGUAAUGGGUAAAGAAGCACCGGCUAACUACGUG